GAGGCCAAUUUGAUCUUGGAGGGAAGGAGGGAGAGACGCCAAGAAAGAGGGGAGGGGGAGCAGAUUGCCCAUGCUUUCUGACGUUGGGAAAAAAAUGGCAUUUGUUAAUUGCUUAUUUUAGGCGCAAAUACUUCUUCAAACCAAUAGGAUUCAGUUCUGUGGUGAUGCUUAGGGAGAAACACAGUACACUGACAGGAAGUGGGAGAACCUGAAGGUCCUCUGACCUUAUAAAGAAUAAGAACUGGACAGAGGCCCUCGUCACUGCCAGCACUAAGGGCACCCACAUACGAGGAUGGGCUGGUUCCCAACACUUUGAGGGAUUAAAAUAAAAUCAGAUAUGAGAAGGUGGAAAUGAAGAGAGUACUGUGGAAUUAAAUCAAGGUGUGACUGAAGCUCCUGGCAAACAGAAAGGACAAGAAAAGCAAUCUAAUUAAAGGCUGCUAUGGCUACUCUAAUCACAGUUACCAGGAAAUAGACUUUCAUCUUUUCCCAGGUCUCCAUAUUCCCACUUGGUGGAACAGGCUGGAAUGAACAUGUAUGAUGUGAUUUACUAACUACAUUGGUUUCGACUUGAGUCAGCAGGAGGAGAAACAAGAAGCUUACAAAUUCUUUUGAGUCUGCAGGUCAAAGAAUUUUGCAUACCACAAAUUCCUUCUUUACUGUUUCUUCCUUAAUCCAUGGAACAAACUCCUCCCUAAAAGAAUCAAUUAGUUCACAUUUGCUAUACCUCUAUAAAUACUCUUUGCCUUGGUUCUCAAAGAUUUUCCAUAAUAACACCAGCAGGGUGUGGUUGAUGCCUCAAUUGCAGGCUCUGUAGGAGCAGGGCUUGUACAGAUUUAGCAGUAACUGAGACCUUACUCCAGAUUGGCCAUAUUCCCACUACAUUCUUAACCUUGAACUGACAUGAAGUAUGGGACAUACCAUUCUUGGGUUCUGACCCGGUCUCAGGCCAUUUGUGCUGCUAUAAUCAAAUAACUGAGACAAGGCAAUUUAUAAUAAACAGAAAUUUGUUUCUUCCAUUUCUGAAGGCUGGGAGUUUAAGAUCAAGGCACCAGCAGAGUUGAUGCCUAGUAACCACCCAGUCUCUGCUUCAAAGAUGAAGCUUUGUUGCUACCUUCUCUGGAGUGCUUUAUCUUCACAUGGUAGAAGGUGAAAGGACAAAAAAAGGGACCAAACUCUCUCCACCAAGUCCUUUAAGAAUGGCAUUAACCCACUCGUAAGGGUGAAGCCUUCAUGACCUAAACGCAUUCUACAUUCUUGUGGAUAAUUCAUUUAAUAUUUUUUUACUCCUGAGGAAAAUGAAUAACUCUUCUACAAUACAAAUCUCACCCCCAUACCAAUACUGUUAGUAAAAUAUUAAUGUUUUAGACUUUGUUUAUAUUAGAUACAACUUUAAAAUGAAACAUAUUCCAUGAAUCAAAUAUUUGUUAGGCCUACAGAAAUUAAAGAUAAUUCAUCAAUUCCUUCAAAUUUUUUCCCAACAUUUUUCUACUAAAAGCUUGAAUAUUCAAAGAUACGGAAAUAUGCCUCAGGAGAGGCAGAAGAAGAUGGAUGGCACUUCUGGAUCCAACCACAGCCCCGGGGACCUCACAGCCCUAAAGAGAAGAACAGAGGCCUGAGUGACUUUUCCACCUGUGGAUUGUAGAGCCCCAGUCAGACAGUAGCUUAGCAGACCUUGGUAAGACCCAGAACUGUGCUGGUAUCAAGUCUGACCCAGUACAGUCAUAGUCAAGAAAGUUUUUUUGAAGUGAUAAUAACAGAGAGCUCCCCAAACCUAGAGAAAUAUAUCAGUAUUCAAGUACAAGGUUAUAGAACACCAAGCAGAAUAAAACCAAGGAAGACUAUCUUAAGGCAUUUAAUAAUCAAACUCCCAAAGGUAAAGAAUAAAGAAAGAGUUCUAAAAGGAGCAAGACCAAAGAAAACAAUAUCAUAAAAUGGUGCUUAAUAUGUCUGACAGCAGACUUUUCAGUGGAAACCUUACAGUCCAGACAAAAAAAAGCUAAGGGAUUUCAUCAAUGCCAGACCUGUCCUACAGGAAAUGCUAAAGGGAAUACUUGAACCAGAAAGAAAAGAAUACUAAUGAGCAAUAAAUAAUCACCUGAAGUUACAAAACUCAUUGGUAAUAGUAAGUACACAGAAAAAUACAGAAUAUUAUAACACUGUAACCAUGAUGUAUAGUCUUAUCCUAAAUGAUCUCGGCAAUGAAACUCUGAAACCCUGAUGAAAAAACUGAAGAGAAACACCAA